GGACCCGUGGACUAAUGGAUAAGGCGUUUGACUUUGAAUCAGAAAAUGCGAGCUCAAAUCUUGUCGUGGCCG